GACGAACGCUGGCGGCGUGCUUAACACAUGCAAGUCGAACGGUAAGGCUCCAGCUUGCUGGGGUACACGAGUGGCGAACGGGUGAGUAACACGUGGGUGACCUGCCCUGCACUUCGGGAUAAGCCUGGGAAACUGGGUCUAAUACCGGAUAGGACCGCACCGUGAGGGUGUGGUGGAAAGUUUUUUCGGUGUGGGAUGGGCCCGCGGCCUAUCAGCUUGUUGGUGGGGUAAUGGCCUACCAAGGCGGCGACGGGUAGCCGGCCUGAGAGGGUGGACGGCCACAUUGGGACUGAGACACGGCCCAGACUCCUACGGGAGGCAGCAGUGGGGAAUAUUGCACAAUGGGCGGAAGCCUGAUGCAGCGACGCCGCGUGGGGGAUGACGGCCUUCGGGUUGUAAACUCCUUUCACCAUCGACGAAGGGUUUCUGACGGUAGAUGGAGAAGAAGCACCGGCUAACUACGUGCCAGCAGCCGCGGUAAUACGUAGGGUGCGAGCGUUGUCCGGAAUUACUGGGCGUAAAGAGCUCGUAGGUGGUUUGUCGCGUCGUCUGUGAAUUCCGGGGCUUAACUCCGGGCGUGCAGGCGAUACGGGCAUAACUUGAGUACUGUAGGGGAGACUGGAAUUCCUGGUGUAGCGGUGAAAUGCGCAGAUAUCAGGAGGAACACCGGUGGCGAAGGCGGGCCUCUGGGCAGUAACUGACGCUGAGGAGCGAAAGCAUGGGGAGCGAACAGGAUUAGAUACCCUGGUAGUCCAUGCCGUAAACGGUGGGCGCUAGGUGUGGGUUUCCUUCCACGGGAUCCGUGCCGUAGCUAACGCAUUAAGCGCCCCGCCUGGGGAGUACGGCCGCAAGGCUAAAACUCAAAGGAAUUGACGGGGGCCCGCACAAGCGGCGGAGCAUGUGGAUUAAUUCGAUGCAACGCGAAGAACCUUACCUGGGCUUGACAUAUACAGGAUCGCGCCAGAGAUGGUGUUUCCCUUGUGGCUUGUAUACAGGUGGUGCAUGGUUGUCGUCAGCUCGUGUCGUGAGAUGUUGGGUUAAGUCCCGCAACGAGCGCAACCCUUGUCUUAUGUUGCCAGCACGUUGUGGUGGGGACUCGUAAGAAACUGCCGGGGUUAACUCGGAGGAAGGUGGGGAUGACGUCAAAUCAUCAUGCCCCUUAUGAUUUGGGCUACACACGUGCUACAAUGGACAAUACAAAGGGCAGCGAAACCGCGAGGUCAAGCAAAUCCCAUAAAGUUGUUCUCAGUUCGGAUUGUAGUCUGCAACUCGACUACAUGAAGCUGGAAUCGCUAGUAAUCGUAGAUCAGCAUGCUACGGUGAAUACGUUCCCGGGUCU
rnacentral:rRNA from 1 species